AAUAGAUACCCGGGUAGUCCACGCCGUAAACGAUGAAUACUAGGUGUAGGGGUUGUCAUGACCUCUGUGCCGCCGCAAACGCAUUAAGUAUUCCGCCUGGGGAGUACGGUCGCAAGAUUAAAACUCAAAGGAAUUGACGGGGGCCCGCACAAGCAGCGGAGCAUGUGGUUUAAUUCGAAGCAACGCGAAGAACCUUACCUAGACUUGACAUCUCCUGAAUUACUCUUAAUCGAGGAAGUCCCUUCGGGGACAGGAAGACAGGUGGUGCAUGGUUGUCGUCAGCUCGUGUCGUGAGAUGUUGGGUUAAGUCCCGCAACGAGCGCAACCCUUAUUGUUAGUUGCUACCAUUAAGUUGAGCACUCUAGCAAGACUGCCCGGGUUAACCGGGAGGAAGGUGGGGAUGACGUCAAAGUCAUCAUGCCCCCUUAUGUCUAGGGCUACACACGUGCUACAAUGGCAAGUACAAAAGAUGCAAUACCGCAAGGUGGAGCUAAACUUAAAAACUUGUCUCAGUUCGGAUUGUAGGCUGAAACUCGCCUACA
rnacentral:rRNA from 1 species